rnacentral:rRNA from 1 species
GACGAACGCUGGCGGCGUGCUUAACACAUGCAAGUCGAACGGAAAGGCCCUGCUUUUGUGGGGUGCUCGAGUGGCGAACGGGUGAGUAACACGUGAGUAACCUGCCCUUGACUUUGGGAUAACUUCAGGAAACUGGGGCUAAUACCGGAUAGGAGCUCCUGCUGCAUGGUGGGGGUUGGAAAGUUUCGGCGGUUGGGGAUGGACUCGCGGCUUAUCAGCUUGUUGGUGGGGUAGUGGCUUACCAAGGCUUUGACGGGUAGCUGGCCUGAGAGGGUGACCGGCCACAUUGGGACUGAGAUACGGCCCAGACUCCUACGGGAGGCAGCAGUGGGGAAUAUUGCACAAUGGGCGGAAGCCUGAUGCAGCAACGCCGCGUGCGGGAUGACGGCCUUCGGGUUGUAAACCGCUUUCGCCUGUGACGAAGCGUGAGUGACGGUAAUGGGUAAAGAAGCACCGGCUAACUACGUGCCAGCAGCCGCGGUGAUACGUAGGGUGCGAGCGUUGUCCGGAUUUAUUGGGCGUACAGGGCUCGUAGGUGGUUGAUCGCGUCGGAAGUGUAAUCUUGGGGCUUAACCCUGAGCGUGCUUUCGAUACGGGUUGACUUGAGGAAGGUAGGGGAGAAUGGAAUUCCUGGUGGAGCGGUGGAAUGCGCAGAUAUCAGGAGGAACACCAGUGGCGAAGGCGGUUCUCUGGGCCUUUCCUGACGCUGAGGAGCGAAAGCGUGGGGAGCGAACAGGCUUAGAUACCCUGGUAGUCCACGCUGUAAACGGUGGGUACUAGGUGUGGGGUCCAUUCCACGGGUUCCGUGCCGUAGCUAACGCUUUAAGUACCCCGCCUGGGGAGUACGGCCGCAAGGCUAAAACUCAAAGGAAUUGACGGGGCCCCGCACAAGCGGCGGAGCAUGCAGAUUAAUUCGAUGCAACGCGUAGAACCUUACCUGGGUUUGACAUGGAUCGGGAGUGCUCAGAGAUGGGUGUGCCUCUUUUGGGGUCGGUUCACAGGUGGUGCAUGGCUGUCGUCAGCUCGUGUCGUGAGAUGUUGGGUUAAGUCCCGCAACGAGCGCAACCCUUGUUCACUGUUGCCAGCACGUUAUGGUGGGGACUCAGUGGAGACCGCCGGGGUCAACUCGGAGGAAGGUGGGGAUGACGUCAAGUCAUCAUGCCCCUUAUGUCCAGGGCUUCACGCAUGCUACAAUGGCUGGUACAGAGAGUGGCGAGCCUGUGAGGGUGAGCGAAUCUCGGAAAGCCGGUCUCAGUUCGGAUUGGGGUCUGCAACUCGACCUCGUGAAGUCGGAGUCGCUAGUAAUCGCAGAUCAGCAACGCUGCGGUGAAAACGUUCCCGGGGCU